UAUUGCACAAUGGGGGAAACCCUGAUGCAGCGACGCCGCGUGAGUGAAGAAGUAUCUCGGAAUGUAAAGCUCUAUCAUCAGGGAAGAAAAUGACGGUACCUGAUUAAGAAGCCCCGGCUAACUACGUGCCAGCAGCCGCGGUUAUCCGUAGGGGGCAAGCGUUAUCCGGAUUUACUGGGUGUAAAGGGAGCGUAGACGGCAGCACAAGUCUGGAGGGAAAUGCCGGGGCUUAACCCCGGAACUGCUUUGGAAACUGUGCAGCUAGAGUGCAGGAGAGGUAAGUGGAAUUCCUAGUGUAGCGGUGAAAUGCGUAGAUAUUAGGAGGAACACCAGUAGCGAAGGCGGCUUACUGGACUGUAACUGACGUUGAGGCUCGAAAGCGUGGGGAGCAAACAGG
rnacentral:rRNA from 1 species